UUUUUUGUGAGUCACUGACAGUAUUCCAGCUGAUCAUGAAAACCAUAGUGCUGCUGUUAGGAGUUUUUGUGGCCUUUCUAGGACUGGCGGCGGCCGGCGAAAUUCCCCCGAUGUAUCACCUUCGAAUAUCUAAACUAUGCGGAUGUCCACCAGAAAAGGAAUUUUGCUCCGGCUACGACCAUAAGACUUA